GGAGGAAAAGAAACCAACAGGGAUUACCUCAGUAACGGCGAGUGAAGCGGUAACAGCUCAAAUUUGAAAUCUGGCUCUUUCAGGGUCCGAGUUGUAAUUUGUAGAAGAUGCUUCAGGUGUGGCACCGGUCUAAGUUCCUUGGAACAGGACGUCAUAGAGGGUGAGAAUCCCGUAUGUGACUGGCUGCCUCCGCCUAUGUGAAGCUCUUUCGACGAGUCGAGUUGUUUGGGAAUGCAGCUCUAAAUGGGUGGUAAAUUUCAUCUAAAGCUAAAUAUUGGCCAGAGACCGAUAGCGCACAAGUAGAGUGAUCGAAAGAUGAAAAGCACUUUGGAAAGAGAGUUAAACAGUACGUGAAAUUGUUGAAAGGGAAGCGCUUGCAACCAGACUUGCACGCGGUUGAUCAUCCGGUGUUCUCACCGGUGCACUCUGCCGCGUUCAGGCCAGCAUCGGUUUUGGUGGUUGGAUAAAGGCCCUGGGAAUGUGGCUCCUCUCGGGGAGUGUUAUAGCCCUGGGUGCAAUGCAGCCUACUGGGACCGAGGACCGCGCUUCGGCUAGGAUGCUGGCGUAAUGGUUGUAAGCGACCCGUC
rnacentral:rRNA from 1 species